rnacentral:rRNA from 1 species
CCUACGGGAGGCAGCAGUGGGGAAUAUUGCACAAUGGGCGCAAGCCUGAUGCAGCCAUGCCGCGUGUGUGAAGAAGGCCUUCGGGUUGUAAAGCACUUUCAGCGGGGAGGAAGGCGUUAAGGUUAAUAACCUUGGCGAUUGACGUUACCCGCAGAAGAAGCACCGGCUAACUCCGUGCCAGCAGCCGCGGUAAUACGGAGGGUGCAAGCGUUAAUCGGAAUUACUGGGCGUAAAGCGCACACAGGCGGUCUGUCAAGUCGGAUGUGAAAUCCCCGGGCUCAACCUGGGAACUGCAUUCGAAACUGGCAGGCUAGAGUCUUGUAGAGGGGGGUAGAAUUCCAGGUGUAGCGGUGAAAUGCGUAGAGAUCUGGAGGAAUACCGGUGGCGAAGGCGGCCCCCUGGACAAAGACUGACGCUCAGGUGCGAAAGCGUGGGGAGCAAACAGGAUUAGAUACCCGUGUAGUC